UAUGAAUAUGACUGUUCAGUUUGACCCUGAGUCGAACACCGACUCAAACUAUGAAGAGGAAGAGGCCCCAGCAGCAGCAGCAGCACUUCCACCUCGAAUGCAGCAAGACAUUUCACAAUGGUGCACAUGUGGAAAUUGUGCAAAAAUGCCUACAGAACCUGAGAAUAUCUGCUGCUGGGAGACACAACAGGUAACAUUUUUAUUAGCUAUAUUUAGUUGUGUGUUUAGACAUAUUUUUCACAUUCCAUGAGGCUUACCAUAUGUCAUUCACUCUAGGUUAAAAGACGGAUGGAGCAGCUGCCGACAACAUCUCCUGCAUGAUUGAACAUCCUGGGUUGGACCCUGUAUGUUUAAAUUUGUUCACGAUGCAAAACGCAUAUAAUGUUUACAGGGCUGAAUAUGGUGCUUUGCACCAAAGGGCGAUAGAGCGGUAAGUGGUUUCUUACUUAUUUGAUCAUCAUAAUUUUAAUCAAAAAGUACAAUUAAAUGCUAAUGUUGUUCAUGAAAAUAAAUACCUGUAUGUUAAAUUUUA